UGGCCCCCUGGGGAGUUCGGCCCCAAGGUUAAAAUUCAAAUGAAUUGACGGGGGCCCCCCCAAACGGGGGGGCAUUGGGUUUAAUUGGAAGCAACCGGAAAAACCUUCCCAGCCUUUGCCAUUCAAGAAACUUUCUAAGAAUAGAUUGGGCCCUUUGGGAACCUUGAACCCGGUGUUGCAUGGCUUUUUUCAAUUUGGUUCUGGGAAUGUUGGGUUAAAUCCCCUAACGGGGCCAACCCUUUUCCUUAUUUCCCCCCCGGUAAGGGUGGGCACUCAAAGGAGACUGCCGGUGCCAAACCGGAGGAAGGUGGGGAUGACGUCAAGUCAUCAUGGCCCUUACGACCUGGGUUACACACGUGUUCCAAUGGUGGGUACAAAGGGUACCCAACUCGCGAGGUCAAGCUAACCCCAUAAACCCGUUUGUAGUCCGGAUGGCAGUCUGCAACUGGACUCCGGGAAUUCGGAAUCGUUAGUAAUCGUGAUUCACAAUGCUACGGUGAAUACGUUCCCGGGCCUUGUACACACCGCCCGUCACACCAUGGGAGUGUGUGUUGCACACAGAAGCAGCGUAGUCUUAACCUUCGGGAGGACGGUG
rnacentral:rRNA from 1 species